rnacentral:rRNA from 1 species
UGGGGAAUAUUGCGCAAUGGGGGAAACCCUGACGCAGCAACGCCGCGUGAAGGAAGAAGGCUUUCGGGUUGUAAACUUCUAUCGACGGGGAAGAAAAAAAUGACAGUACCCGAGUAAGAAGCACCGGCUAAAUACGUGCCAGCAGCCGCGGUAAUACGUAUGGUGCAAGCGUUAUCCGGAAUUACUGGGCGUAAAGGGUGAGUAGGCGGUCAGCUAAGUCAUAUGUGAAAAUCCAGGGCUCAACCCUGGACCUGCAUAAGAAACUGGCAGACUGGAGUGCAGGAGAGGUAAGCGGAAUUCCUAGUGUAGCGGUGAAAUGCGUAGAUAUUAGGAAGAACACCAGUGGCGAAGGCGGCUUACUGGACUGUAACUGACGCUGAGUCACGAAAGCGUGGGGAGCGAACAGGAUUAGAUACCCCGGUAGUCC